UCAUUUCAAUGUCUCAAGUGAAUUGAAUUAUUUCCUUGCCUUUGAAUAAAAUUUAGAUACAGAUCUAUAAAUCAAAAAUCGAAUCUGUUUCGAAAUAUCAAGGUGAAUCUGAAGAUGUUAAAGAAGAUGAUCAGAGGAUUGCCCAAGACCCACUGGAGUAUGGUAAAACAGUUCAAAGCUUUUAUUGUUCAGCAUCAAGCCCAUCAUUUGUUGUCCACAUCAGACAUAGAACCUCGAAUAGAUGUCAGCCUUCUGUUAGCCCACAAAUAUGAUGAAAAGUAGGAAAACAUUUUGAAAGUUUUAUUUACAGCAUGAUCAUAACUAUGCAUAGAUCAAGUUAAAGGCUUUUUUUUUUAGAUGAAU
rnacentral:sRNA from 1 species